AGUAUUUUGACUAUACAAAGGUAUUGUAAUAAGAUUUUAAUUGAAUGCUAAAAGAAUGGAAAUUUAAAAAAAAACUUUUUUAAAAAUAAAAAUUGAAUUUUUUUUAAUUUGUGCAAAAACAAUUAUAUUUAUUAAAGACAAGAAGACCCUAAGAAUUUAAGAUUUUACAAUUAAAAAGUUUUUUUUUAAAAUCUUGAUUGGGGCGAUCAAAAAAUAUUAAUAACUUUUUAAAAUUUAAAUUGAUCUAUUAUUAAUAAACUAAUGAAUUAAAUACUCUAGGGAUAACAGCGUAAUAAUUUUUGAUAGAUCUUAUUGACAAAAUAGUUUGCGACCUCGAUGUUGGAUUAGGAUUCUUUUUUAAUGAAGAAGUUAAAAAAAGAAGUUUGUUCAACUUUUAAAUUCCU
rnacentral:rRNA from 4 species